AACAAACGCUGGCGGUGUGCCUAACACAUGCAAGUCGUACGAGAAAGUCGGCUUCGGCCGAUGAGUACAGUGGCGCACGGGUGAGUAGCGCGUGGGUAAUCUGCCCCCCGGUCAGGAAUAACCCGCCGAAAGGCGGGCUAAUACCCGAUAACACUGACGCUCCGCGGAGCGUCUUUCAAAGAAGGCCUCUGUUUACAAGCUUUCGCCGGAGGAUGAGCCCGCGUACCAUUAGCUAGUUGGCAGGGUAAUGGCCUACCAAGGCUACGAUGGUUAGCUGGUCUGAGAGGAUGGCCAGCCACACCGGAACUGAGACACGGUCCAGACUCCUACGGGAGGCAGCAGUGAGGAAUCUUGCGCAAUGGGGGAAACCCUGACGCAGCAACGCCGCGUGAGGGAAGAAGGUUUUCGGAUUGUAAACCUCUGUUCUUGGGGAAGAGCAGAAGACGGUACCCAAGGAGGAAGCCCCGGCUAACUACGUG
rnacentral:rRNA from 1 species